CUAAACUUAGCCCAUUUCUGCUGCCCUAAUAGCUUCCCUAUAAAGGCUUUGCUAAGGGAAGCUCAAUUCAGAUUUUUAGAGAUAGAAAAAUCCAGAAAAAUACCAAUGGUUGAAAUUUUACUGUUUUAUUGAACUUUUAUGUGGUCUUGAAGUUUUGAAUUACUAAAACAACUUCUGAUUCUCUUUGGGGUCGAAAAAUGGUUUGAAUUGGGAUUUUGAAAGUGGUGGUUCAAGAUUUUCUGCCUGUUACUAUUUCAUUGGAUUGGUUUUUGAGAUGUUUUGGUUGGUUGCCCCCUAUUACUGGGUUCUGUUGUUGCUUCUUCAUAUGCUGGAACAUCAUUUCUUCUUGUUCCCUCUUAUUUCCCAGGUACACAACCAUAUAACUCAUUUGGUCGAAUAGUGAAAUUUGAAGAAUGAAUUGAAAAUGAAGAAUUAAAGCAUAGGAUUAUUCGACUUUUGUUUUCUCUGAUUUAUUUUCUAAUUUAAUGUCAUCACCUUGUCUAAAUCAGCUUUAAGUAAGCAUGUUGUAGCUGUUAGUAGAGGUGAUAUGGUGUUAGUAUUCAUAUUUUGGACCUUCAGUUUAGCUCAAUGGUUUCACACGUAUUUUAAAUGAUUUUUGUUCAUUAAUAGAGAUCUAUUUUCCUAGGUUCGUCAUUAUCUGAUUCACCAGCAUCAUGUGCUACAACUUUAUUUAUAAUUAGAUCUGUUAGGCCAUGAAUGAUGUCUGUUCGUGUAGAAUCAGUGAUCAUGCUUAAAUUUAUGCUUAUUUGAGGUUUACUGAAAGGCUAUUAUUGUUAAGUAUUGGUUGUUGUUUGUGGAUUUGGUCACUUAUGGGCCAAAUCAGCAAGUAUCGAAUUCAGUACUAGGUUCGUUGGUGAUAUGGUGCUAGUAAUUGAUCAAGUAAUAAUUCUCAUAUCGGUUUCAAGAAAGUUCUAAUAGAGGUAGUUAAUGUCAUCUCUUUGAUGUUUGGAUUUGAGUUGUUUUGGACUUAAGUCUAUUCCUCUACUUUUUAGCCGUGGUUUCCUUCAUAUAAUUUGUUUUCCCUUUAAUUUGGCUCGACGCUUAUUUGUAUUGGUUAGCUAAGGUUAAUGCCAAGCUUUUUUCUUUGGACCUUCAUUCUUCACUGAAAAUAAACCUUAGGAUCAUUCAGCCCAAGCUUGAAUCUGAUUUUGACAAUCGAUUGCCUUACUUAUUAGUUGCAGGGAUUUGAUAGAAAGUAUGAUUUUCCUUAUUAAUAAUUAGCUAGGUUCGAUGUUGACCUUCUUCUUGCUCAUAUCUUUGAUAUUAAAUAUAUUCCUAGGGAUUCUAAAUCGAGUCAUUCUUAUUUUCUCCUGAUUCUCAAUUAGUUCAGGCCAAGAGACUAUGCAAAACAUAGACGCAUGCCUCUCAUGUUGGGCCUGCCCAUCUCAGACUUUGAUUUUAUUGAUUAGGCCCUAGCCUUUUGUUUCUUUUCUUAAUAACCCGUUCCCUUUCUUCAAAUGAAAAUUUGCUUCUGUAAAGUUGGGUUGAAUGUUUGGACUUAAAACAAGAGGGAUAGAAUCCCAAGUCACCUAGUGUUGUUAAUUCAAUUUUAUUAAUAAUUGAGAUUGAGCCUUAGAAAGCAACAUGUUAACUUAUAGUCCUAACACUUUCGAAUAAGUUUAAGUGAAUAGAUUUGGAGCGUACCAUACUAGACAACAUAAACAGCUUAUGUUUUUCCAAAGUUAAGUUUUGAUUCCCUUUUAAAUUUUAAUCAAGGUGCGCCACACCAAAUAUAAUCCCAAAUCCGUGGCCCUCAUUUAACUAUUUCUUUUAAAUCCUUAGAAUUAGCGGCGUUUCAUUUAGCUAAUUUCCUUGCCCUCGCAAAAUUAAAAAUGCGUAGUUGCAUUAGGCACAUUAUUUUUUAUAAAAUUACCUUCCUAAACUCGGAUGCGUAUUUCAUGUGACCCAAAUCCAGAUCUCACAACAUUAAAUAAAAUAUGUCUCGGACCGCGGGUGCAUUUCAUGUGGCGUGGUCCAAAGACGUGUUUUAGAUGACGUUGAAAUCUUCUUAAAAGUAAUUAAAAGCAUGUAAUAAGUUUAAAAUUGCAUCGUAGGUUAAAACAUGCAGUAAAGUCAGAGGCCAAUUAUAAUAGUUUAGGCAAUCGUGCUAGAACCACGGAAUCCGGGGGUGCCUAACACCUUCCCUCAGAUUAACAGAAUUCCUUAUUCAGAAUUAUUGGUUCGCAGACUUCAACAAGGAAAGUCGAAAUUUCCACGAUUUGGGAUUUAAUUUUAAAUCGAUGACUUAAGAUACCAGAAAAUAAAUCAUUCUAAGUGGCGACUCUAGAAAAAUCAAAUAAAAAAGUUUAUUUUGAAUAAGUCACUUAAAUUUGAAAAACUCCCUCGCACACUAACCCUUCGGGGUUGGUGUAGUGAGAAAAGGAGGUGUGACACAUACCCAUUCUUGUUAUAGUGAAACAACUUUCCCAAAUGCUCUGAAAUGAUAACAUAUGCACUCCACAGAAUGGAAACUUUAUACGAGACACACGAUCCAAACACAUUACGCAUGAGAUAGCCCACCGGCUGUACUCAAAUCGACACCUUACCAUGAACUCGUCAUAAUCACAACUACUAGUCCACCAACUAGUCUUUCCAAGUUCGUGCUUACCAACCAUAUAUAAGAAUCAACCUCGUACCAUAAAUGAAUGACUGAAAGAUCUAUCACUGCAUUCGCUCCCAAGACCAAACAACACAUUGUGAUGAUAAUGAAGUAUCCAUAGACCUUGGUAACCUAUCUGCAAUAUCACAAAUCAUUUAUGCAUAGUGAAUAUCGAGUGCGCAAUAUCACAUAUGAACGAAUAGAAAGAAUCAAUGUCGUAAGUUUGCAGCUGAAACAAAGCCGCACAAUGAAAAAAAGGGAAAUUUCUCUAAAUGCCCUAUAGCCUCUCAAAGAUAGGUAUGGAUAUCAUCAUACUGAUCCGUAAGGCUCAACUAUGCACUUGCCCAUAACUUUUAGAACCUAUGAACCUAGAGCACUAAUACCAACAGUGUUACGAGCCAAAAUCCACAAUUUGUGUUUGCACCUAAUCCGACCUGUUAGAUUAGCCAAUAAAUAGUUAACCCAAUUCUAAUAAAAUAAAUGUGAUCAACAAUUGAUAUGUCUGGAUUCCAAACAAUGACCUAACGAUUGGUAAUACAAGACAUGAGCUACUAAGGCUGGAUUAUUGCAAAAAUGAAUAUGAAAUAAAUACAACUUCUGUUUCAACUAUACAUAAAAAUAAUUCAACUCUAAAAUAACCCAGAGAAUAAAUGGUAGCCACAUCACAAACUUCUUCAGAGUCAUCAACUAUAUUUUCGCUCCAAAAUCUGCACGCAAGGUGCAGAGGUGUAGUAUGAGUAAAACCGAACCCAUGUACUCAGCAAGUAUCUAGACUAACCUCGGUAAAGUAUUGAGGUGGCUUUUUAAUUAAAAGAUACUCACUGAUAUAAUCGGUACAGUAACCUAGCAAUAGAAUAAUACUAAAAUAUAACAGAAAGAGUACACGAAGCGAAUAUGUGAAGCAAUAACUAAGUACUAGAAGAGAUGACAAUUUAACAUAUCCCAAUAUCUCGACCAAUCUUUUCCUUAGAGCAAUAAAUAAUAAACCACAAUAGUAACUCCAUAACUUCCAUAGUGUGAGAAACAUAUUCAAGAUAUCAAGUCGAUGGCACCGCAACGCUCUUCGUGCGUUUAUCUCUUCAUCACCAAAUAUGCAUAUAAUCAUACCAACCAAGUGGCAGAAAUGCUAAUAAUAGUAAUGACAAAGUAGGGAAUACACGAUUGGCAAUAAUGAGCAAGGAAUUACAUAUGGACAAAGGUAAUAUACUAGGUUGAAGAAAUAGGAGUAAUGGUAGAAAUUCUGAAAAAGGAACAUAACCUUCACCAAACUAGCAUGGUAGAAGGAUAGUUGAAGAUAUAACAAUUAAGAAGGGAAAGCAUAAUCUUUAUAAGCUAAAAAGUAUAGGCAUGAAUGACUAUCAUGGUAGACGGCUUGUACUAAAGUGCAAUAAAAUAUAAACGACUUGAAUGUAGAAAUAACAGCAUGAAGGAACACAUGACAUUUGAAAGUUAAACAGCUAGAAGACAUGGACAUCACAAAAACAAUCAAGAUACAGGACAAACACAGAACAACAACGCCAAGUAAUGUAGAUAACAUAGGUGAAACAAUAAUAACUCCAGGUAAAAGCAUGAAUGUACACACAAGGAAAAGAUAUCACAACAUAAGGCAUGUCCAUCAUCCUCCCCUGCACAGAAACACCCUUCGUGUCAUGAACUCAUGAUAAUACACGGCAUCACCCUUCGUUCUUUUAAUCUCAUCCUCACAUUAUAAUGCAAAUAAGAUCAGGAUAAUAUAAAAUGGCACGGCAUCAUCCUUCAUGCUUUUAUUCUCAUGUGAAAUAGCACGGCAUCACCCUUCGUGCUUUACCCUUCUCUUCACAUCAUAAAAUAUAUGAAAUGGCAUGGCAUCACGCUUCAUUCUAUACACUCUCCCUCACAUGAUAAUAUAUAUGCAAUGGCAUGGAAUCAUCCUUCAUGCUUUAUACUAUUCCUCACCACGCAUAUGUAUAUCAAUAACAAGCAAGGUAGGAAGUAUACCUUAAGUCAAGGAGAGUGGUUAAACGAAUAUUCUAAAUGAACCCUAAUCACAACUUUCAAGACAACAAUAGUUCAAUAAACCAAGAACCUUAUUAUUCAAGUAUUUCAACUAAUCUCAAGAAUGAUCUACAACACGAGUAUAGAAUCUAAUAUCUCUAUAAUAACGACUGUAGCAAUGUAUUAGUGAUUAAGCAUAAUCUGGCUGAAUUAGACACGUCAAUGUUUCUCAAAAUUCCGUCAAAUUUUUAUUAAGUUAUAAUAAACAAAAUCUUGGUUUCUAACAUUUAAUUCUAUAUUCGUAUUGAUCUAUAAGUAAAGUAAGACAUGAAGAAAGGAGGUUACAUCAUUCUACAAGGCGCAAUUUAAAGUAUAAUUUACCUCCGGGCAUAAUUAAUCCUGGAACAUGCAUAUAUUCUCGUCAUCUUAUAUAUGUAUCACCCCUACAUGUAUCAUAUAAUGUCAAUUAGUAGGAAAACUUUUCUCAACAAAGAUAGGAUAGACACUUAUCUCAAACAAACCAAAUUGAAACAAUAGAAGUGCCAUCCUUCUCAAAUCAUCCUCUUAACCACUUAAAACUAGCCAAAAGAAACUCAAAAUCAUCAAAUAAUGCCAUAGGAAGCAAACCCAAUCGAUAAAGGUUGAAUCUUUACACAAUUACUCAAAGUCAACAAAAAAGUUAAACUUGGGCUCGCAUCUCAAAACCUGAAAAAACUCAUAAAAUACGAUAACACAUUCAAUUUACGAGUCCAACCACACUAGUUUCACCCAAAUUCGACUCUGAAUCGAUGUUCAAAACUCAAAAAUUCACUCUAUGAAAUUUUGUACGAAAACCUUCAAUUUUCUCUAUAAAUUAAUAAUCCAAUUGUCAAAUACGAAGAUAGAUUCACGAAAUAUUAGACAACACUUGACCCAAUCUAUAUGAUGAAAAUUGCCUCAAAAUUUGCCCAAAUCCGAGCUUCGCAACUCAAAAUAUGACCAAAUGAACAAACCCUCAAUAUUAAAUAUUUUUUCCAGAUUUUCUGCCAUGUUUCGUGUUCUAAACAAUCUCAAAACUUCCUUUUGAUUCCUUUAGCGGAUUCUUUGUGAAAUUCCAGUCAAGUUAGACUUUUGAAUCACCCAAUUUGGCCUUAAGAUGAGGGAUAUAUGAUGUUUUGAUGUUUUAAAUGAAGUCUGAAAAUUUAAGGGAUAAAAAUUGAUAUUUUCAUAAAUAUUUUACACCAGAAAAUCAGCAACGAAAGAAUUUUCUUUUUAGCACUCAAAACUCAUUCGGAACCUCCCAGACACAAACCAUUUUCUUUAAUGACCAUGUCGGUCGUUUUGAGAAUUUAAGCUUUGUUCCCCGAUGCACAGUCUUGAACAGCUUCAUAAUAUGAGCAUCGACUUACAUGCAUUGUUGGAUUCGGUUAAUGGAUGGUUCAGAGUCAAAUUGGAAGAAGGAAUCUAGUUUUGAAAGUUCGAACGGUGAGAAUUUGACUGGAAUUGAACUUUUCAGUAAGCGACCCUGGAAAGGGUUUUGGGUGAUCCAAUAGCUUUGUAUGGUGAUUUGGACAUAGGCGUACGUUCACAUUGUGCAUUAGAGGUCCGCGGCUAAUUUAGGCUUGAAAUACCGAAAGUUGAAUUUUUGAAGUUUCCGGUUCGAUAGUGAGAUUUUGAUAUCGGGUCAAAAUGGAAUUUCUGAAGUUGGAUUAGCUUCAUAGUGUUGAAUGUGAUGUGUGUGCAAAUAUCAAGUUAUUUAGACGAGGUUUGACAGACUUUUUGAUCAAAAACGUAAUUUGAGAGUUUUUGAAAUUCUAUGGCUUGAAUCCAAUGAAAAUUGGUGUUUUGAUGUUGUUUUAAGGUUGGAAAAAAAUUUAAUGAUGUUUUAGGGUUGGUUGGCAUGUUUGGUUGAGUUCCAGAGGGCCUCGGUUGUGUUCCAGGUGGUCCAUGAGUCAUUUUUCCCUAUGUUUGAACUGUUGUUCUGCUAUCUGAUGUUUCCUUCAAUGUGAUCGCAUAGACAUAGCCAAGAUCGCAUAGUACAAUGUCAACCUUCCUUCUAUACGAUCGCAUUGAUUUUUUUCCAAUCGCGUAGCACAAAAUUUGGACAGUAGCAAUUUCCUUCUAUGUGAUUGCAUUGAUUUGUUCGCGAUCGCGUAGCACAAAAUUUAGACUAUAGCAUUUUCCUUCUAUGUGGUCGCAUGGAUUUGUUCUCGAUCGCAUAGCACACUUUGGGCCAGAAGCUAUUUCUUCUAUGUGAUCGCAUCUCUUCUUCCCCGAUCUCAAUGUACAAAACCUGGGUAGUAUUUAAAUAGCCCAUCAGCGACCUUUCUUCAUCUUCCACCAUUUUUUAACGGGAUUGAAGCUUUUGAAUGAGAUUUUCGAGGAAACCACAGGGAAAUCACUUGGAGGUAAUAUUAUUGACUUCAUAGCUCGUUUAUAUGUGACUAAAGGUUUAAUUUGUGGUGAAAAAUUAUGGAAACAUUAGUGCAAAAUGGGUAAUUAGGGCUUGAGAUUAAGAAACCUUAAAAUAGGUAUUUGACGGGCCAAUUGAACUCCGAUUUUAGUGUUCUUGAUAUGUAUAGAGUCGUAAAAGUACGAAGGUUCUGAAAAUAUAAAUUUAAUCCAGUUGCGAGGCGUGGUCCCAAGGGGAAUUUUUGUUAUUUUACCUAAUUUCGCAUAUUAGCUUAGAAUUUAUUUCCAGAGUCAGUUACAUAAAAUUAAAUUGGAUAAAUUUGGGCAAUUUGAAGUUGAGUACUCAUGGCAAGAAUGUGGGUUCAAGUUUAUUUUGAGCCGAUUUGAGGUAAGUAUCUUGCCUUACCUUGUGUGGGGGACUUCCCCUAGGAUUUAGGUCUGCUAUGUUGAUUGUAGUUCAUGUACACAAGGUGACGAGUUCGUGCUCGUUCUUAUUUGUGAAAAAAUUAGCCUUCUAGGAUUCUUAGGUCCUUAUAUUCACUGUGUAUGCAUGUGUUCUUGAUAUGCUUGAGUUUUCCACUUACUAGUUUCACCUCUACAUGCUCAUGAUUCAUUCUUAUUGCGUGCUUGACUCUUAUUUUGCUUAAAUGAACAUUUUUAACUCUUCUAUUAUCAUGCUAUCCUUCAUAACUGCUCGUCUUUAUUGGAAACAAUUAUUAUCUCUCAUGUAAUUAUUUAGUCUGGAUUGAGGUGAUGAUUAUCUUCUGCUGCCCAUCCUUGCUUGAAAUUAUUGUAUAUUCUUCGUAAAUUUCCCAAACUUAAAAGAAGACUAGAUAAUCUAUAUUUAGUCGACAUUUUCUUAUUUGGUUCAUAUUAGCUUUCUUGUUGUUGAAUUACAUACUGUGGGAUUGUUGCUUCAUAUUAUUUUCUUCCCUUUUGAGAUGUUCUUAUCACGCUUAGUAUUCUCUAUGGUGGUUAUUCCUUGUGAGCUAGUUUUACCAUCUCCUUGUGAUCGAAAGUUCUUGAGUUGAUUUACUUGUUUCUUGUCAAUAUUGUCAUUGUUGUCGUUGUACUUGUUGUGGUGGUGCACGAGGUUUAUGCCGUGCGGUUGUUGAUAUUGUGAUACACAAGGUUUCUGCCGUACAACUUUUUUUAUGGGGUUGCACGUGGUUUCUGCUGUGCUAUUGCUACUAUUGAUAUAUUGCACAUGCUGAGUGACAAGGCAGGGUUAGUAUGUGUGUAUGUGUGUAUAUAUAUAUAUAAUGACAUGACCCGUCAUUUUGAGCUUUUGCACUUUGAUCACUAGUUCUCGGGCAUGACUUGCCCCGUGUGAUGUAUUACAACUGAUGUAGAUUGUUGGUUUUGGUUUUCAGGAAAAAUCUGGAAUUAAUUUGAAAGAAUAGUCUCAUAUGAAAGAUUUGAAUUUGAAAGGUUUGACCAAGAGUUGACAUAUUUGUAUAUGAGCUCGGAUAUAAUUUUCGAUGAUUCGGUUUGCUUCGCGGGAUGAUUUAUGACUUAGUAGUGUGAUCGGAAGUGGUUUUAGAGGUCCGGUGUAUAAUUAGGCUUGAAUUGGCAAAGUUAGUAUUUUGGCGAUCUCUAGUCGAUAGGUGAUAUUUUGAUCUGAGGGUUGGAGUUGAAUUCUGAGAGUUGAUAUGGCUUCGUUAUCUGAUUUGGGAUGUGUGUGUAAAUUUCAGGUCAUUCUGAAGUCAUUUGGUUGGGUUUUUUAUCAAAAAGUGUUUCAGAAGUUUUAGAAGAACUUAGGCUUGAAUUUAUUGUAAUUUGAUGGUUUUGAUGAUUGGAGCAAGUUUUGUUGAUGCUUUAGGAUGUGUUGGUGCAUUUGGUUGAGGUCGCAGGGGCCUCGGGGUGAUUUUGGAUGGCUAACGGGAAGAUUAGAACUUGGAAAGGAUAGCAGAAAAUGCAUCAGCAGGUGCAGGCCUAUUUUGGCCUUCGCGUUUGCAAGCCUAGGGCCGCGUUCGCGAAGGAGGAAGUUGGGGUCCCUGAGAUUUGUGCUUCACAUUUGUAUUUGGUGUCUCGCAUUCGUGGAGAGUGAAAACCUUGGGCUUCGCAUUGUCGGGGAUUAUUUCGGGUCACAUUAGAGGAAUUAAGGAUUCGAAUAAUUUGUUCUUCGCGUUCGCGGCAUAGAGCUCGCAUUCACAUAGUUGAGUCUUUGCAUUCACAUGUAGGGCAUCGCAUUCGCGAAGGGUAAUUUUGAUCAAGGAAAUUUUUGUGCAUCGCGAACGCGCGAAGGCCCUCGCGUUCGCAUAGAAGGAAAUCAAAGCUGGGCAGAAGGGUUAUUAAAACAUUUCUUCCGCGAUCCUAAGUCAUAUUUCCACCAUUGUUGAGCAUUUUGAUAGCUAUUUGGGAGGAAUUGAAGAGGGAUCCGAAGAGGAUUGAUUGGAGGUAAGUUUUAUGAACCAAAAACGUGAUAAUAUUGUGAAUUAACUUAGAAACACAUCGAAAUUUAAACAAAAAAUACAAGAACUAGGGCUUGAGAUUUUAGAAUUUUAAUUUCGGAUAUGAGGGGCCAUUUGGACCCCGAUUUUGGUGUGCUUUUUAUGCAUAGACUCGUGGAGUUACAAGGAACCAGUUGAUGUAAAAAUUUCUGAGUUUCAAGAAGUGGGCCCAGGACUUGGGUUUUGGUAAUUUCGGGAUUUGUGCCUAAUAUUGAUUAUUUUCGCUUAGGCUUUGUUCCUUUAGCAUAUUGUGAUGUAUUUGUUCUGAUUUUGGAUAGAUUCGACUUGCAUGGAGGCCAAAUUUAGGGGAUAAGGCGUCCCAAGCUAGAUAUUUUGCCGGUUCGAGGUAAGAAAUGAUUGUAAAUACUAUCUUGAGGGUUUGAAACCUUAGAUUAUACAUCGUUGUGUUACUUUGAGGUGGCUUCACCCUACAUGACGAGCGUCGGUUAGAGCACUGCUAGAAAUUGUGACCCAGUCCAUCCCAAAGGAUUAUUUUCCUGUGUAUUUGAUAGUUAAUUGUCUGUUGUUACUAUAUUUUGGGUUGUAUGCCAUGCUUGGAGCCUUGUGCUGACUUGUUGAGACCCUUAGGGGCUUUUUUACUGUAUUUCCUCAUUCUAUUUGUUUGAAAGCAUAUCCUCAGUCAUGUUUUACCUAUUUAGUACUCAAAUUUGGCUUUACCACUAUAUUCGUAAAAAUGUGGAGACUGUAUUGGGCUGAGUUCCCUGAUCUGCUGAUGGUCCGAGUGAUCGUGAGAUGAUGACUAAGGUAGACCGAGGGUCUGACUGUGAGCUUGAUGACUGAUAUAGACUGAGAGUCUGAUGGUAAGGUUAAUGACUGAGAGAGGUUGGCCUAGUUGUGAGGAUUAUACUUAUAUGGAUCGGACUGCACGCCGCAACAAUAUAUAAAUAUAUGUAUAUGGAUCGGGCUACACGCUGCAGCGAAACUUAUAAGGAUAGGGCUGCACGUUGCAACGAUAUGUUGGACCGGGCUGCACGCCGCAGCAAUAUUGCACUUGGGUCGUAAGGGGCACCUCCCAUAAUCAGCACACCGAUAUAUGGAUCGGGCAGCAUGCCGCAGCAGUUACUAUAUGGUACCUAUUAAGCAUGAAUGCUGAGUGCAAAUAAUGAUUGGUAAGAGUUAAGUUAUGAGUGGCAGAGAGGCUAGCUCGAGGGGCGAUAGAUAUAUACAUGCACAUGAGUGAUACUUUGCCUUGGAGGCAAGUUUAUGAACUUAUUGAUUUCUCUCCUCUUUAAAGUGAGUUUCUAUCGAAUAUGUUGAUUUAUUGACUUUUUUCACUCAUCUUUAUAUUGAGCCUCUAUCAAUAAGUUGAACGAAUGAUUUAAAAUAACUUUUAUUUAAAUUGGGGUCUACGAGAUGUUUAUAAAUUAAUCAUGGAUUUGUUAUUUGGCUAUCUGUACUGAGAUUUUUAAGUUAUAAAGUGUUUAUGAUUAUUAUUUUGCCCGAGGGGCUGUUUUACGAACUAUGUUUGCCCGAGGGAUCAAUUAUGACUUUAAUCUCUAUUAUUAUUUUAAAUGGUAUUGAACCGCCACUGAAACUGCUAGAAAGUGUUUCAAAAUGAUUUUUACUAAAAGCCGAACUUUAAAAAGGAAGGUUGACUAGUAUUAUGAUUUGAAAGCCUGUUGUGUUUAUUGAGCCUAAUGUUAAUGUGGAUUCAUUGUUUCUGACUGCCCAGUAUUUAUUUACUCUAAUUACUUACUUGGUUGGAGUACUCACAUUACUCCUUGCACCUUGUGUGCAGAUGCAUGUAUAUCGAAACCUUGUAGCGGGUGUUGAUUGGCUCAGACGCUGAAUCAUCAGAGUUAACUGGUGGCUGCAUGACGUCCGUAGCACCGCUCCUUUCCUUACAUUGCUAUUACUGUUAUUAGUACAUUAU
rnacentral:lncRNA from 1 species